rnacentral:lncRNA from 1 species
CAGGCUUCUGUGAAAGAAUGUUCCGGUACAGUACAUCUACCCACAUUUCAAUGAACACAACAAUAUAAAGGCUCCAGAAACAACUAUAUACAGCUCAUUUAUUUGCCAUUGCAGGUUUUUACAACAACAAAAAAACACAAAGUAGAAUUACAGUACAAUAAUCAAUACAAUAUGUUACUGUAAACUCACGGAAACAAAAAUAAUUACAGUAAAAUUACAGCACAAUGGUAAACAAAAAAUAGUAUUGUAAGGGAUUGUAAGGGAUGGGGUGGAUGGUUUAUGGAUCCCACCUUCUGUUAGGGUCUGGCCACAUCACCUCAUCCACAUCACAAGCAAUGUCAUCCCUGGUUAGGCAACAGGGAAAAUAUCGCCUUGCGUGCUGUAUCCAACCAUGGACUGACACCACCUCAAUAACUCCGUAUGCCUCUUCCAUCGCUUGCAGAAGAGGCAGGCGGGCAUGUGGUUGGCGGUCACACACUUUCCAAUGCCAAGCCAAAAAUAAUUCCUCAAUCGGAUUGAGAAAUGGGGAGUAAGGGGGCAAGUACACAACUGUGAAGUUAUUGUGGUUGGUGAACCUCCUACUCCUCUCUCUCUUCCUCUUCCUCUACCUCUUCCUCUUCCUCUCACUGCCCCCAUGUUUGCAAAGUUCUCACAAAAGAGGUGAGCUUACCUGAGGUCUAUUUGUAGUGCUAAGGCUCAGACUAAUUGGUGUUCAAUUACUGUAUGUGUUUCCAUGUGUGUGUGUGGGUGUUGCAAAUUUCAGGUAUGUUUUGCAUUUUGAAUAGAAGUGUUUUCCCAAUGAUUGCAAGAAAUGUAAUUCUUGAAUGAAGUGUCUAAUGUAAGAAACAGUGUGUAGUGUUUUGCAAGUGUAGAAGAAUUGCAAACAAAGUGCAAAGUGUGUUGCAGAAUUGCAAACAAAGUGCAAAGCAGAAAAUGUGUUUGUACUAUUGGUGCCUUUGUUUAAGGAAUGGUUACAAAAGUUAAGGUUUUGACGCUUUUGUCUAAGCAUUCACUUUCAGUGUGCAAGCAAUUGGCAAAAACUGUAAAACCUAUCUGAAACCAUCCAUCCAAAACCCCCAAAGUAGCACCAAAAUUAUUCCCAUUCCAAUUUUGUCAGGAGUAGGGCCCCUUCUGGGUUCAAGGAAAGGUGGUGUCUCUCUCUCUACCGUGGUGAAACAUGAAAACCCUAUUUUACUUAGCACAGUCCAACCGCAGGCGCCUGCAUUCACACUGAUGGUGCUGUUGGGAUAAUGGACUUGAGCCCACACAGGCUGUGCUUCUGUCCUUGGAUUGUUGUUCCAAGGGAGGCCAUACCUCCUCCAGACCAGCAUACUUUCCUUUCAGAAGAGGAGAAAUGAGGAGACAACUUGGAGAUCUGGUGUUGGAAUCGUACACUGAUCUAGCUCUGGCCUGCAAAAGAAAUUGUUUCCUGAGUUUUCUGAACACACCCUGUCUGGUUGCCGGGCGACGAAGCUAGGCGGGAGAUCGCUCAAUUACCCGCACCUGCAUCUCAUCAGCCAUCUGCACACCUGGUCCUGAUCAUCACCUCUUCUCUUCUUAAGCUCUGACCUGACAUCCAUUCCCUGCCGGAUCGUUAGCAAUGAACAUCAUUCUCCCGGAACAUUCACCCCCUUGCCUGGUCGUCGGUGGCUUCUGUCACAUCAUUGGAUCGGCCUAUUCACUCUCACCAACUCACCUCCGCUGCCCGCUCCGUCUCCUGGAUUAUUCUGCUUUCACCUUGACUCUGUAAAUAAAUACUCACCUUCAUUUUACUCACCUUGUCCUGGUGGGCUUCUGGGUUCUGCUUUAGAGAAUCGUAACACUAACUGGAUAUAGCCUACAUAACUAACUGGAUAUAGCCUACAGAACAAACAACAUUGAGACAUUAUUGUUGGAAAUGGAAGUUUAAUAAAAUAUAUCUCUAUUGACAUGAAAGCUGGAUAUCUUUUAUAUUGCCUUGUCAUCCCUUGUCAUCCAAUGCUGGAUAGAGUUUCCAAACCAUGUCGAAGUCUGAAUGGAAUCAAAAGAAGAGAAUGGGCUUGGGACAAAGACGACCCAUCUGAGACUGAGAAAUGGACCUUUUCAUACGUUCUUGCAUUUCCAAUCACCCCAAGCUAUGGCGUGCAAGAAUGCCAUAUGUCACCAUGAUGACAAGUAAUCUAUACUCACAGAAGUGAACAUCCCUUGACCCCUGACCUCAAAAGUAUGCAGUAUUGGCAUGUUGAUGAGUUACGUCUCCAUUUUCAUUGUUGCUUUUAGCAUGAGCAGUUUGUUAUGUACAAAGUCAAUUUGAUAGUCCGACUAAGAUCGCUCAGACAGCUUUGGCCAGAAAAGGAGUUCACAUUUGGUCUUCUCUCUGAGAGCGGAAACCUAAAUGUAUAUUGGUGAAAGAGGUAAAUAUUCUGUGAGAGUGAGAUGUGACAUAUCAAAAUAGAACCAUGUCCCAGAGUUCCGAUAAUAUGUACCAAUAAUCAGUAAAUAAAGGGUAGCUCUGUGUUCCAAGAUUAAAUCGCUGUGAUGAUAUUUACUUAAGUUAAAUUUCAAUUUAAUUGAAACAAUCCUUCCUUGGUAAGUUCCUUCUGAUGCAGCCUGGGAAACGACUGCCAAGAAAAAGCCUCAAUAGAAAUAUCUUCUAAAAACAAACCCUGCUUUAUAUGACAGACAUUCCUUACUCAAUCUGUGUUUGAGUUUUAUCAGCACUGUAACCCUUUCAACUAGGACUGAAAAACAUCAGGCAUGAUUGACUGUCAUGAGGUUCUUUCAACUAGUUCCAGAAACAUACGUCAAGGGUGUAUGAGCUGGAUCUAUG